GCCCAAGCCUGGCUGAGGAAGAGUUACGGGGCUUCG
rnacentral:tRNA from 1 species